rnacentral:misc_RNA from 1 species
UUGCACAGAGGAUAGCUUG